AAUUUUCUUUUAAAUUUCCAUCUCAACAUCUCGUUCUCCUUAGAUCGAUCUUUAUCUCUUUCUCCUUCGGCCUCUAUUCCAAUCCAAAAAAUUACAAGCUCCUCUAAUCUUUAGCAAUAACGGAUUUGUCCUGGAGCAGUGGAAAUGAUCAAUCUAGUAUAGUUUGUACUAGCAUGGAAAACUGGUGACAUCAAAACUUCUUAUACCUAUGCAAAUCUAGAUGGACUGUUCUAUAAUUGAUUCAACUUAUAUUCAAAGAUCGGAUGGGAGCUUCGGUUCCAAUAGUGCAUUCUUUAAGUGGUGAACUCGAAUCGUGAGCAUUCACAAGUUAGGAUUGCAGAUUGACAAGGAUUUCACUUAUACAGCUGCUCAUUCUCCCAAAAGCGAGAUUAGGAAAGUUGAGAGUUAAGAUUGGGCUUUUUUUUUCAUUGUAUCACUUGUGGAACUUUCUAUCUAUGAUAUUUGUGAAGGUGUGUUGUUGUAAUUUCAACUAAUUUUAGCUUUUUUGUAUGAA